AUGUGUCAAGUUGUAGGA
rnacentral:snRNA from 1 species